UACGUAGGGGGCAAGCGUUGUCCGGAUUCAUUGGGCGUAAAGAGCGUGUAGGCGGCCAGGUAGGUCCGCUGUGAAAACUCGAGGCUCAACCUCGAGAUGUCGGCGGAAACCAUCUGGCUAGAGUCCGGAAGAGGAGAGUGGAAUUCCCGGUGUAGCGGUGAAAUGCGCAGAUAUCAGGAGGAACACCAAUUGCGAAGGCAGCUCGCUGGGACGUUACUGACGCUGAGACGCGAAAGCGUGGGGAGCAAACAGG
rnacentral:rRNA from 1 species